rnacentral:rRNA from 1 species
AGUAACACGUAUCCAACCUGCCGAUAACUCGGGGAUAGCCUUUCGAAAGAAAGAUUAAUACCCGAUGGCAUAAUAGAACCGCAUGGUUUGAUUAUUAAAGAAUUUCGGUUAUCGAUGGGGAUGCGUUCCAUUAGGCAGUUGGUGGGGUAACGGCCCACCAAACCUUCGAUGGAUAGGGGUUCUGAGAGGAAGGUCCCCCACCAUUGGAACUGAGACACGGUCCAAACUCCUACGGGAGGCAGCAUG